AGUUCAUCAAAGAACACAAUUUGGAGGGGAUGGUCACCCCUCUGCAGGCAGCCAAAAAAUGGGACAACUUAAAACAACGCUACAAGGAGCUAAAAACACCCAAGACGGGGUCGGGGACAGACGGAGGAGAAGAAACUGCAGCGUCUUGGGUGUAUUUCGAGGACAUGCAUGCAGUGCUUGGUGGUCGUCCCUCCAUUGAUCCUCCCCUGCUGGUGGCCUCUGCUUCCUCAGAAGAGGACCCCACAACACUGCUCUUAGACAUGGUUGAAGGCCCAUCCUCUUCAGCCUCAGCAUCCACAUCUGCUGCCUCUGCAUCUGCUGCCUCUGCAUCUGCUGCC